CGAUUUCCGGCGAAGCCGCAGCCGCAGCCGCCGACAACCCAGGUAAAACCCUAUCUCCCUAUUCUCAUUUUCUUUUUCUUUUUCCUCAUCUUUUCCCUUUUUUUUUAAAUUAAAAUCUGAAAUCCCUCCUCUCUUUCUCUCUUGGCAGAACGGAGACCACUCUGUGGCUCCGCCGCCGUCCGUCGACCACCGGCAGCCCCGCGGCUGCCGCCCCCUAACCUCGAUUCACA
rnacentral:lncRNA from 1 species